CCGCGUGAGUGAAGAAGGGUUUCGGCUCGUAAAGCUCUGUUGUUAAAGAAGAACACGUAUGAGAGUAACUGUUCAUGCGUUGACGGUAUUUAACCAGAAAGUCACGGCUAACUACGUGCCAGCAGCCGCGGUAAUACGUAGGUGGCAAGCGUUAUCCGGAUUUAUUGGGCGUAAAGAGAGUGCAGGCGGUUUUCUAAGUCUGAUGUGAAAGCCUUCGGCUUAACCGGAGAAGUGCAUCGGAAACUGGAUAACUUGAGUGCAGAAGAGGGUAGUGGAACUCCAUGUGUAGCGGUG
rnacentral:rRNA from 1 species